UACGUAGGGGGCUAGCGUUGUCCGGAAUCAUUGGGCGUAAAGCGCGUGUAGGCGGUUCGGUAAGUCCGCUGUGAAAGCCGGGGGCUCAACCCUCGGAAGCCGGUGGAUACUGUCGAGCUAGAGUACGGAAGAGGCGAGUGGAAUUCCUGGUGUAGCGGUGAAAUGCGCAGAUAUCAGGAGGAACACCAAUUGCGAAGGCAGCUCGCUGGGACGUUACUGACGCUGAGACGCGAAAGCGUGGGGAGCAAACAGG
rnacentral:rRNA from 1 species